GGAUAUGUAUCCAUGAAUCAUCCAGAAAAUUAAUAAGAUGAUGACACAUAUUCUUAAAAGUCAAAAAUUUGAGGCAUGUGUCAAUGAUGGUUAAUUUUUAAAUUAUUUCUAAUCGUAUCACGAAAACGAUGAAUGAUCCAGAUAGAUUGAUGCACAGAUAGCUUUUCUUAGGGGUAGACGAGUCUCGAGACUACAGUGUGAAGAUACUGGAGUAAGAGUGUAGAUAUUUGUUAGAGAAUAAAUAUACUAAACGUGACCAAAAUAAGAAGUCACUUGGUUGUCUACCACUCAUCAGUGACAUUCUCGAUACUGUAAUAGUGUGAGUGAUUUUUUGACCUUCGGUGUCUCGACUAUUCAUAAUGAGGUUGCUGUAGUUUGACUACACCAUAACUCGAUCUCCUAGUUAUAUGGAGUCUUGAGGUGUAUGUUGACUGUAGUAGAUUUAUUGUAGGAAUAGGGUGUAUAUCUAGAUAGGAUCUAUCGACCUUAGUAGAUAAGGAGAAAUCUUUUGUGAUUUAUGAGGC
rnacentral:lncRNA from 1 species